GCGGGAGCUGUUGUCAGGGAAACUACAACUCCCAGAAUGCAUCGCGCAGCCGCCUCCAGGCGCUAAGCCUGUCCGGCUCUUUCCCCCCCGUGUGACAUGCGGUGGCCCUUGGCUCUGUGCCCUGCCCGCAGUGCCACGGCUGCCCCCUGGCCGUGCCGCAGCCUCCCAACCCCCCAGGUGGCUGCCCGCUGCACUAUGGGCCAGGGGCCUGCUCCAUUUCUGCAGGCCGGGUUCAGAGCAAGAUGAGUUGCAGCGAGCCAGGCCCUUCUUGCCUGCAGCCGGCACCUUCCUGUCGCUGUAACGUGGCUGAAAGAUCCCGCCCAUGAGCCCAGUGCUUGAAGCAGACAGCAUUGCUACAGCCAUCCCCGACGGGCUUAGUUGGAGACUGAGGUGGUCAGGAUUUCAGCAACCACAAACCUGCCGCAUCCUGCCUCAGGACCCCUCACUUUAGUCCUGUAGCUUCGCCUUGAAGGACAAUGGGCAUCCUCACCCCAUGCAUACAAAGAUCAUAAUGGUACAAUGGUUCACGCUGUUAGAUAAGCUGGAUGGAGGAAGGAUGCUAGAGCAGCUGUGGCACCGCAGAUACCACCGAGGAAGUUCAAGCAAAAAUAAUUAAAUUAUAUCAUCUUAAACAAGCCAGCGACCCUGUAAAGAUAUCCUGACCCAUUAUUCGUUUGCCAUCUCUAGAUUCUUCAGCUUCUUUUUUGUUAGAGUGUAAAGUUCAUGGGGAGUGAAAGCAGGUGAAUGUAUUAAUUUAACAAGAUUUGUGCAAGUGUCUCAACUUAAAUCUGGCUCCCACCGAUGUAAGUGCCUCUCUACUUUGAUUUAGUAACACCCAGCAGAGUAGUUAUGGUCAAUGUAAUUGGACUGACACACAGUCAGUGGAGAUAUUACAUUGCUUAUGUUGACUCUUACUAGCUUUCAAGAGCAACCCACAAUGCCCCAAUAUAAUUGAUGCAAGUGGUCCUGGUAAUGGAUGCGCACCACUGACACUAGGAACCACCUGUGCGCACAUUAGCAAUUUUAUAACUCUGGUGGCUGUACACAAACAUAAGUUAGGAAAACAUAAUUUUGUAGUGUAGACAUGGCUUAGAAAAGAUAUUAGAUCUAACAGCAUGUUAAAUUGAGAACAUCCACUUUUCUGCAUUUAUACUGGGGAAUUUUUAAUUUAGUUUAGAGUAAAUAAAGCCAAUUUCAUUUAAAAAUAGUUUCAUGUUUUUAGGCACUAGCACAAUAUUUUAAGUGUUUCAAAAAGCAACAGUAAACUCAAAAAAUGUUCAUCAGAACACAUGCCCCAAUAUUUCAUUGCAUGGAGGACUUGAAAAACCACACCGUUUAUCAAACUGAAGUUUAUUAGUAGCCUAGAUGGCAUGACAGGAAUUUAUGAUCGUGGUCUCUCUUUCUUGCCUUUGUACAAGGCUAAGAGAGAAACAUUGGCUACUUUGACAACCUUGAAGCGGACACCAGGAAUGUCACCAACAGCGUGACCUUUCCGACCAAAGCCAGCAACUAGAACUUCA